UACAGAGGAGCCAAGCGUUGUCCGGAUUGACUGGGCGUAAAGCGCACGCAGGCGGCAUCGCGCGUGGGGUGUGAAAUCUGGCCGCUUAACGGCCAGGCGCCAUCCCAUACGUCGAGGCUGGAGCGAUGCAGAGGUCGGUGGAAUUGCCGGUGUAGUGGUGAAAUGCGUAGAGAUCGGCAGGAACACCCAGGGGGAAACCAGCCGACUGGGCAUCUGCUGACGCUGAGGUGCGAGAGCGUGGGGAGCGAACCGG
rnacentral:rRNA from 1 species